UCAAACAAGGUUUCCUACUUGAAGAAGGGAAGUUAAAGCCAAAGAAUUAGCUCAAGUGAAGAAACCUUAUCCAAAACAUUAUCCAAACCCUAUCCUAUCCUAUCCUAUCUUAUCCUAAUCCUAAUCCACCUAUAUUUCAGCUACUUGGGAGGAUUCCUAGCUAUAUUAGGAUGCUUAAAAUCAGAUUUCUAGAAAACCUAAUCCUUUCCUACAAAAAUGGCGCCUAGAACCUUUCUAGAAGACCUUUGCCUUGCAUUGCAAAUCAG
rnacentral:lncRNA from 1 species